rnacentral:lncRNA from 1 species
AGAGUUUGAAGAGCGUCUUGUCUGAGAUAAGGCUGAACUUGAGGACGGGCAAGUCGACUCGCCGCCCCAUUAUCUCCGACGCCGAACAAGUGAACCUUGAAGCCGGCAUGGUGAACAGAAACAAGCUAGGAAGGAAAACUCAGUUCGCUUAUCUGGCUCUGGCCGAGCCCUGGCCCAAAGUCUCGGGCUUUGCGAAAGUUGAUUUGUUCAGUGGGGAAGUGCAGAAGUACAUGUAUGGAGAAGAAAAGUUCGGUGGGGAGCCUCU